rnacentral:ncRNA from 1 species
UUUCCUCAGGAUAGCUGGCGUUCUCACAACCCUCCCAGCCCACGCAGUUUUAACCGGUAAAGCCAAUGAUUAGAGGUCUUGGGGCCGAAAUGACCUCAACCUGUUCUCAAACUUUAAAUGGGUAAGACAGUCCCAUCUGGAGGUAAUAAGAGGCAGUGGCA